UACGUAGGGUGCAAGCGUUGUCCGGAAUUAUUGGGCGUAAAGAGCUUGUAGGCGGUUUGUCGCGUCUGCUGUGAAAUUUCGGGGCUCAACCCCGAACUUGCAGUGGGUACGGGCAGACUAGAGUGUGGUAGGGGAGACUGGAAUUCCUGGUGUAGCGGUGAAAUGCGUAGAGAUGUGGAGGAACACCGGUGGCGAAGGCGGGAUCCUGGGCCAGUACUGACGCUGAGGAGCGAAAGCGUGGGGAGCAAAGCAGG
rnacentral:rRNA from 1 species